GUCUAUAUCGAAUCGGCUAUUAAUGCUGAUGAGCAAUAUAUAUACAUUAUUUACCUUAAAGGGUAUGAAAUAACUGCAAUAUUUAUUCACUUUUUAAUAUUAUUUACUACCGUAGAAAAAUGUUUUAGUCUGUUAAGAGUUUUUAAAUGUAUUAGUCACACCUCUAAAAAUGAAUUUGAAAUGCUAAAUGGCUCGCUAUUAAAGUAUUGUCAGUAUAACCAAAAGUCUCCCAUGCUAUGGUUCUCAAAUGUAUUUUUGUUGCAACUCUGAUGCUGACUCUAGUAAAUUGUGGCUUCAUCAAGUGGGACUCUCCCAUUACACUUUGCCAUGUUCUGGGACGAUGCCAAAACGCUGAAGACUAUUGCUAUGGCCGCCUACUGGAAGAUAAAGUUUGCGGAACAUCACAGCGUUGCUGCUUGAAGAAAUUCGUACCAAAAGCAAAACCAAUUUAUUCAAUUUAGUAGCCACGAUAUAAAUAAAAUUACCGCUCUAUAAAAUCCUA